rnacentral:rRNA from 1 species
AGAGUGAAAUAGAACCUGAAACCAUUUGCUUACAAUCAUUCAGAGCCCUAUGUAGCAAUACAGGGUGAUGGACUGCCUUUUGCAUAAUGAGCCUGCGAGUUGUGGUGUCUGGCAAGGUUAAGCAAACGCGAAGCCGUAGCGAAAGCGAGUCUGAAUAGGGCGCUUAGUCAGAUGCUGCAGACCCGAAACGAAGUGAUCUAUCCAUGAGCAAGUUGAAGCUAGUGUAAGAACUAGUGGAGGACUGAACCCAUAGGCGUUGAAAAGCCCCGGGAUGACUUGUGGAUAGGGGUGAAAGGCCAAUCAAACUUCGUGAUAGCUGGUUCUCUCCGAAAUAUAUUUAGGUAUAGCGUUGUGUCGUAAUAUAAGGGGGUAGAGCACUGAAUGGGCUAGGGCAUACACCAAUGUACCAAACCCUAUCAAACUCCGAAUACCUUAUAUGUAAUCACAGCAGUCAGGCGGCGAGUGAUAAAAUCCGUCGUCAAGAGGGAAACAACCCAGACUACCAGCUAAGGUCCCUAAAUCUUACUUAAGUGGAAAACGAUGUGAAGUUACUUAAACAACCAGGAGGUUGGCUUAGAAGCAGCCAUCCUUUAAAGAAAGCGUAAUAGCUCACUGGUCUAGUGAUUUUGCGCGGAAAAUAUAACGGGGCUAAAGUAAGUACCGAAGCUGUAGACUUGCGCACAACUUAGAUUAUUUAAGUUUAGAAUAUGAGAAACUAAGUUAUAUGUUUAGUUAUAUUUUUACUGAUUUUUAUAGAGUAAAGAUAGAAAUAAAACUUAGUAAAAUCAGUAAAAAUAUUCUUAGACUAAAGUUAAGUAGUUUAAGUUGUGUGCAAGUGGUAGGAGAGCGUUCUAUUUGCGUCGAAGGUAUACCGGUAAGGAGUGCUGGAGCGAAUAGAAGUGAGCAUGCAGGCAUGAGUAGCGAUAAUUAAUGUGAGAAUCAUUAACGCCGUAAACCCAAGGUUUCCUACGCGAUGCUCGUCAUCGUAGGGUUAGUCGGGUCCUAAGUCGAGUCCGAAAGGGGUAGACGAUGGCAAAUUGGUUAAUAUUCCAAUACCAACAUUAGUGUGCGAUGGAAGGACGCUUAGGGCUAAGGGGGCUAGCGGAUGGAAGUGCUAGUCUAAGGUCGUAGGAGGUUAUACAGGCAAAUCCGUAUAACAAUACUCCGAGAACUGAAAGGCUUUUUGAAGUCUUCGGAUGGAUAGAAGAACCCCUGAUGCCGUCGAGCCAAGAAAAGUUUCUAAGUUUAGCUAAUGUUGCCCGUACCGUAAACCGACACAGGUGGGUGGGAUGAGUAUUCUAAGGCGCGUGGAAGAACUCUCUUUAAGGAACUCUGCAAAAUAGCACCGUAUCUUCGGUAUAAGGUGUGGUUCGCUUCGUAUUAGGAUUUACUCCGAAAGCGAAGAAACUUACAACAAAGAGUCCCUCCCGACUGUUUACCAAAAACACAGCACUCUGCUAACUCGUAAGAGGAUGUAUAGGGUGUGACGCCUGCCCGGUGCUCGAAGGUUAAUUGAUGGGGUUAGCAUUAGCGAAGCUCUUGAUCGAAGCCCGAGUAAACGGCGGCCGUAACUAUAACGGUCCUAAGGUAGCGAAAUUCCUUGUCGGUUAAAUACCGACCUGCAUGAAUGGCGUAACGAGAUGGGAGCUGUCUCAAAGAGGGAUCCAGUGAAAUUGUAGUGGAGGUGAAAAUUCCUCCUACCCGCGGCAAGACGGAAAGACCCCGUGGACCUUUACUACAGCUUGACACUGCUAUUUGGAUAAGAAUGUGCAGGAUAGGUGGGAGGCUUUGAGUAUAUGACGCCAGUUGUAUAUGAGCCAUUGUUGAGAUACCACUCUUUCUUAUUUGGGUAGCUAACCAGCUUGAGUUAUCCUCAAGUGGGACAAUGUCUGGUGGGUAGUUUGACUGGGGCGGUCGCCUCCCAAAUAAUAACGGAGGCUUACAAAGGUUGGCUCAGAACGGUUGGAAAUCGUUCGUAGAGUAUAAAGGUAUAAGCCAGCUUAACUGCAAGACAUACAAGUCAAGCAGAGACGAAAGUCGGUCUUAGUGAUCCGGUGGUUCUGUGUGGAAGGGCCAUCGCUCAAAGGAUAAAAGGUACCCCGGGGAUAACAGGCUGAUCUCCCCCAAGAGCUCACAUCGACGGGGAGGUUUGGCACCUCGAUGUCGGCUCAUCGCAUCCUGGGGCUGGAGCAGGUCCCAAGGGUAUGGCUGUUCGCCAUUUAAAGCGGUACGCGAGCUGGGUUCAGAACGUCGUGAGACAGUUCGGUCCCUAUCUGCCGUGGGCGUAAGAAGAUUGAAGAGAUUUGACCCUAGUACGAGAGGACCGGGUUGAACAAACCACUGGUGUAGCUGUUGUUCUGCCAAGAGCAUCGCAGCGUAGCUAAGUUUGGAAAGGAUAAACGCUGAAAGCAUCUAAGCGUGAAGCCAACUCUAAGAUGAAUCUUCUCUAAGCUCUCUAGAAGACUACUAGUUUGAUAGGCUGGGUGUGUAAUGGAUGAAAGUCCUUUAGCUGACCAGUACUAAUAGAGCGUUUGGCUUAUCUUUAAUAAAGCAU